GACAGAGGGGGCAAGCGUUGCUCGGAAUUACUGGGCGUAAAGGGCGCGUAGGCGGGAUGGCAAGUCGGUCGUGAAAUCCCUCGGCUCAACCGAGGAACGUCGAUCGAUACUGCUGUUCUUGAGGAUUGCAGAGGAGACUGGAAUUCCCGGUGUAGCGGUGAAAUGUGUAGAGAUCGGGAGGAACACCGGUGGCGAAGGCGGGUCUCUGGGCAAUUCCUGACGCUGAGGCGGCGAAAGCGUGGGGAGCAAACGGG
rnacentral:rRNA from 1 species